GGACCGUAGCUCAGUGGUUAAAGUUUCUGCCUUGCAUGCAGAAAGCCUGAACUUCAAUCCCUGGGAUCUCCA